CAUGACUGGGGUGAAGUCGUAACAAGGUAACCGUAGGGGAACCUGCGGUUGGAUCACCUCCUUACCAAGAAG
rnacentral:rRNA from 2 species